UCCUUUAUGGCUUUUAAAGGAUCU
rnacentral:tRNA from 1 species